CCUACGGGGUGCACCAGUGGGGAAUAUUGCACAAUGGGAGCAAGCCUGAUGCAGCCAUGCCGCGUGUAUGAAGAAGGGCUUCGGGUUGUAAAGUACUUUCAGCGGGGAGGAAGGUGUUGUGGUUAAUAACCACAGCAAUAGACGUUACCCGCAGAAGAAGCACCGGCUAACUCCGUGCCAGCAGCCGCGGUAAUACGGAGGGUGCAAGCGUUAAUCGGAAUUACUGGGCGUAAAGCGCACGCAGGCGGUCUGUCAAGUCGGAUGUGAAAUCCCCGGGCUCAACCUGGGAACUGCAUUCGAAACUGGCAGGCUAGAGUCUUGUAGAGGGGGGUAGAAUUCCAGGUGUAGCGGUGAAAUGCGUAGAGAUCUGGAGGAAUACCGGUGGCGAAGGCGGCCCCCUGGACAAAGACUGACGCUCAGGUGCGAAAGCGUGGGGAGCAAACAGGAUUAGAUACCCUCGUAGUC
rnacentral:rRNA from 1 species